AUGUUGUCGAUGCGUCUACUGAUGUGCCAACUUAAGUCUCAACCUACUUAUGGCUUGCGUCCUCGUCCGCUUCGGCUUGUUGACCGCCUUGGUCUUCCAAGCGUUGGCGCUGCUGUUCUUGAGCCGACUUCUUGUUGUGAUGUUGUUCAUACCAAAUGGCACCUUGUGAUGACACAGGAGGUUGCUGCUCUUGAGUGCAUCGACACGUGGGAUAUUGUUUCUGUUCCUCCUCGUGAUCGUCCCAUCACUUGGUGGGACUACAAGGUUAGGACUCACUCUGAUGGUUCUCUUAGCAUUAGAAAAACUUGUCUUGUGGGUCAUGGCUUUCAGCACGAGCAUGGUCCUGAUUACGAUGAGACUUUUGCUCCUGCAAAACCGUAUGCUGGGCUUUAA
rnacentral:rRNA from 1 species